rnacentral:tRNA from 1 species
AAGGGUGUAGCUCAACUAGGCAGAGCAUCUGACUCCAGAUCAGACGGUUGUGGGUUCGAUUCCUAUCACCCUUGCCA